AAUAAAAACGAUUGAAUGACAUCAAUCAUAACUCGUGGAUUUUCCAAUAUUCCAUUGACAUUGUCAUGUUCGUAUUCUAUACCAUAAUUGUUGAGAGAGACGGCAAUGAC
rnacentral:ribozyme from 12 species